rnacentral:rRNA from 1 species
AUUGAACGCUGGCGGCAGGCCUAACACAUGCAAGUCGAGCGGUAGAGAGGUGCUUGCACCUCUUGAGAGCGGCGGACGGGUGAGUAAUGCCUAGGAAUCUGCCUGGUAGUGGGGGAUAACGCUCGGAAACGGACGCUAAUACCGCAUACGUCCUACGGGAGAAAGCAGGGGACCUUCGGGCCUGGCGCUAUCAGAUGAGCCUAGGUCGGAUUAGCUAGUUGGUGAGGUAAUGGCUCACCAAGGCGACGAUCCGUAACUGGUCCGAGAGGAUGAUCAGUCACACUGGAACGGAGACACGGUCCAGACUCCUACGGGAGGCAGCAGUGGGGAAUAUUGGACAAUGGGCGAAAGCCUGAUCCAGCCAUGCCGCGUGUGUGAAGAAGGUCUUCGGAUUGUAAAGCACUUUAAGUUGGGAGGAAGGGUCGUUACCUAAUACGUGACGAUUUUGACGUUACCGACAGAAUAAGCACCGGCUAACUCUGUGCCAGCCGCCGCAGUAACAC